rnacentral:rRNA from 1 species
UACGGAGGAUCCGAGCGUUAUCCGGAUUUAUUGGGUUUAAAGGGUGCGUAGGCGGCCUGUUAAGUCAGGGGUGAAAGACGGUGGCUCAACCAUCGCAGUGCCCUUGAUACUGAUGGGCUUGAAUGCCGUUGAAGGUGGCGGAAUGAGACAAGUAGCGGUGAAAUGCAUAGAUAUGUCUCAGAACCCCGAUUGCGAAGGCAGCUGUCUAAGCGGUCAUUGACGCUGAUGCACGAAAGCGUGGGGAUCGAACAGG